rnacentral:rRNA from 1 species
CAGUCGCCGCGGUAAUACGUAGGGUGCAAGCGUUAAUCGGAAUUACUGGGCGUAAAGCGUGCGCAGGCGGUUGUGUAAGACAGGUGUGAAAUCCCCGGGCUUAACCUGGGAACUGCGCUUGUGACUGCACAGCUAGAGUAUGGCAGAGGGGGGUGGAAUUCCACGUGUAGCAGUGAAAUGCGUAGAGAUGUGGAGGAACACCGAUGGCGAAGGCAGCCCCCUGGGCCAAUACUGACGCUCAUGCACGAAAGCGUGGGGAGCAAACAGGAUUAGAUACCCCCGUAGUCCCUGUCUCUUAUAC